rnacentral:rRNA from 1 species
ACGGAAGGCAGCAGUAGGGAAUAUUGCACAAUGGGGGGAACCCUGAUGCAGCAACGCCACGUGUGGGAAGAAGCAUUUCGGUGUGUAAACCACUGUCGUGAGGGAAUAAUGCUUAAUUUCGGUUAAGUUGAAUGUACCUCGAAAGGAAGCACCGGCAAACUUUGUGCCAGCAGCCGCGGGCAUACGAGGGGUGCACGCGGUGUUCGGAAUCACUGGGCGUAAAGGGAGCGCAGGCGGAGAUGCAAGCAGUCUGUACAAUACCGGGGCCCAACCCCGGACCUGCAGAGUGGACUGUUUCUCUUGGAUAGUUCAGGGGCAAGCGGAAUUCCUGGUGUAGCGGUGAAAUGCGUAGAGAUCAGGAAGAACACCGAUGGCGAAGGCAGCUUGCUGGAGACUUAUCGACGCUCAGGCUCGAAAGUGCGGGUAGCAAACAGGAUUAGAUACCCUGGUA